GCACCUUUGUCAGAUUAAGUUGGGUCACUUCGAGUUGCUGUCGUCUUUAGCUUCAGGAGUCGAAGAUUUAUUUUUGUACCAGAAUCGAAGCCUCCGUUUGGAGCAGGUUCUUAUUUAUCGCUUUAUUUAUUUAUUUCCCGCGUCGGUUUUAUUUUAUUUAUUUCCCGCACCGUUUUUAUUUUAUUUAUUUUCUGCACCGCUUUUAUUUUAU
rnacentral:lncRNA from 1 species